GGGAUUGUGGCUCAGAGGUAGAGUGCUUGCCUAGCAGGCAUGAGGCACUAGGUUCAAUCCUCAACACCA
rnacentral:tRNA from 1 species